UUCAGGACAUGGUGAGCUGUGACGCAGG
rnacentral:piRNA from 1 species